rfam:Hordeum vulgare subsp. vulgare, WGS project CAJW01000000 data, contig: morex_contig_43810
GUAGUACUCCCUCCGUUCGAAAAUACUUGUCAUAGAAAUAAAUGUAUGUAGAUGUAUUUUAAUUCCAUAUACAUUUAUUUUUAUACAAUUAUGCGACAAGUAGGACGGAGGGAGUAGAUG